GUUAUAUAAAAGUUAAAGGGCAAUGUUGUUGCCAUACUUGAUUGUAAAACCGGUUUUAUUUGUAACGGGAGCUACUGCAGUCUAUUACUAUAUAUUUCCUUUAUCCUGGUUUUUCAUCACUUUUGAACAUAGUGGGAAAUCUUUCGGUAUACCAAGAGAGUUUAUGCCAUCAGUUAGCGAAUUAAGCCAAGUAGGGCUUGCAAUACCUAUGCUGAUUCUAUAUGAAUUGUCCAUUCUGAUAUGUAGUUAUAUUGAAAAAAAGAAGACACAGAUUUAAACAAAGAAAUCCCCCUUAUCUCCUUUAUAUCACAUUUUUAACUUAUAACAUUCUUAUUCAGGAUUUAAAUAUAUAGAAAUGUUUCAUAAAUUGAUUGUAAUACUUUGUAAGUACAGCCUUACUUUUGAUGAUCAAUAAUACUUUUUGCUAUUAUUUGAUGAAUAAAUAACAUACUUCUGAUCUAGAAAGUAAGCUAGGCUGCUAGCUUGUCCCGGUUGAGUGUUUAGUACUAUUAAACCAAAAUCCGAAAUUUGCAUAUUAAGUAUUAAUGGUAAUCGAUAUUGGUUGAUGUCAAUUACUUUAUACAUACCAGCAACUUUGGCAAUUUUAAGUUUUUUUAAUUUUCUUGAUAAAGUAGCCUGAGAAAUGUUGUGGCCUCUUUCUUUAAGCAAAGUCUGUAAAUCGCUCUGCUCUAAAAUUUCGUGAUUUUGAAUUUAAAAUAUGUUCACCUAGUGUGUUGUCAUGCAUUAUGCACUUUAUUCAUAUUAGGGGUAUUCUCUUGCUCUUGCAAAACCCGGUGCACGGUGCAAGCAUUGCAGAUUUACAACGGCACAACAACAAACACACGCAGAAAAAUAUUUGCAAGGGCUGUGAAAUAUGUCAGACCAAAACCCAUGUAUAUUAGCGUGCAAUGUCACGCAAAAAUAAAAUUGCAACCCUGUUGUAGUUGCCAUUUUACAUAAAGACAUAUUACGUCGUUAAACUGUUGAGAAAGUUUUUUUGUUAAAAAUGCAUGCAGAAGGUGAGCCAAUUCACAAUAGCCAUGCACAAUAGUCAUUUACAAUAAAUUGACUGAAUCAGUCGCUCAUAUAUCACUAGAUUCUGCAAUGGGUGCUCUCGUGCCCUUGUAUAUUUUGGUGUAGUAUUUUUGCAAUCUGCAAUCUUGCAAGAGCAAGAGAAUACCCCUAUUGAGUAUGUAAUAAGUAUAUUUGAAAUUGUAUUCAUUAUUUCUUGACUAUUCAAUUUUUAAUGUCUAUGUAUUUUUGUAUGUACCACCUUUUCCGCACUCACCGUAUAAUUUUCUUUCAAAAUUGCGAUAAAAAAUUCGUUUGCACUUCACUUCAAGUUGUUAUCAACUUUUGAAUUUAUUUUCUUAUAAAAGUAUAAAACACAAAUCAACCCAAGAGGUUCGCAAACUUGUAAUGUAAAUGUAAAUGUAAGCUUUCCGAUUUAUUUUUACAACAUAGGUAUAUAAUAUAUAAACUUUAAUUUUUAAACGAGAUGCUCGCAAAAAAUGUAAAAAAAGGUAAAACUUUCAAUCUUCCCAAAAGGUAAAAAAUAUUUUAAAUUAACCAAAAAUGUUCGCCAAAAAAGAAUCGUGUGGAUCGGACCGAUGUCGUAGCGCCAGAAUGGUUUUUGAUCAAGUUGUCUGUCCUUUUGUUACUUUGGUUCGGCGAAAGUAGAUGAUGGUGUGUGAUGUCACUGUGUGCGUGUGUUAGAGCGUGGUGUAUAAUGUGAGGAAAAUGAUGAUGAGUGUGGGGAAUGUGGCGUACCAAUGUUGCAUAUAUACAUAGAUGUGGGCAGAAGGGGGAAGGCUGAUACCCAUUUAGCCAUCCUGGGCCCCCUAGGCAUGGGGCGGAAGCAUACACAUUUGGCACACAUAGCCGGACGUACACUGGCGUUGCUGAGGUGGCAUCCCUUUAAAUAUGCCGCGGUGUGGCAACCUGUAAGAACGGCAACACAGAGGGCAUCGGAUGCAAGGUGGCUAAUUAUAUUGCGACGUCGGAGUUGCUCGAGUUGCACUGCGUGCAGCGGUUGACAGCGUUGUUGCCGUGGUGGAUCGUGGCGCUGGCAGCCCCAGGGCGUGGAACAUGGACAGCCGAACGGAUGGUUGGCAUUGGUGUUGUUGCCGCAUCGAUAUCCAUAUUGAUCUAUAGAAGAGGUUAUCGUCAUUAGAUAUUUGUGAAAUAUAGUGAUGAACUAUGUUGCCAGUGGGUCGUCAUGUGGAUCGACCCUUUUAUGUUAUUUUUGGUUUUAAUAAAUUAUUGUUUGUGGUAUA